rnacentral:rRNA from 1 species
UCUGAUCUCAAAUCAGGUAGGACUACCCGCUGAACUUAAGCAUAUCA